rnacentral:tRNA from 1 species
AAAAUUUUAAGUUAAUUAAACUAAAAGCCUUCAAAGCUUAAAAUAAAACUAAUUUUUAAAUCUUA